rnacentral:rRNA from 1 species
AGCGAACGCUGGCGGCGCGCCUUACACAUGCAAGUCGAACGUGAAAGGGCUUCGGCCCAAGUAAAGUGGCGCACGGGUGAGUAAUACGUAGAUAAUCUUCCCUAAAGCUCGGAAUAACCUGCCGAAAGGCGGGCUAAUACCGGAUAGAGCGAGGGGUUCGUGAAGGACCUCUCGGGAAAGGGAGCUCGCAAGAGCCCUCACUUUAGGAUGAGUCUACGCCCGAUUAGCUAGUUGGUGAGGUAAUGGCUCACCAAGGCGAUGAUCGGUAGCUGGUCUGAGAGGAUGAUCAGCCACACUGGAACUGAAACACGGUCCAGACUCCUACGGGAGGCAGCAGUGGGGAAUCUUGCGCAAUGGACGAAAGUCUGACGCAGCGACGCCGCGUGAGUGAAGAAGGCCUUCGGGUUGUAAAGCUCUGUUGAAAGGGACGAACAUGCUUGAGGUUAACAGCCUCAGGAGCUGACGGUACCUUUCGAGGAAGCACCGGCUAACUCUGUG